rnacentral:rRNA from 1 species
AUUGAACGCUGGCGGCAUGCCUUACACAUGCAAGUCGAACGGUAACGGGCCUUCGGGUGCCGACGAGUGGCGAACGGGUGAGUAAUGUAUCGGAACGUACCUUUCAGUGGGGGAUAACGUAGCGAAAGUUACGCUAAUACCGCAUAUUCUGUGAGCAGGAAAGCAGGGGAUCGCAAGACCUUGCGCUGAUUGAGCGGCCGAUAUCAGAUUAGCUAGUUGGUGAGGUAAAGGCUCACCAAGGCGACGAUCUGUAGCGGGUCUGAGAGGAUGAUCCGCCACACUGGAACGGAACAACGGUCCAGACUCCUACGGGAGGCAGCAGUGGGGAAUUUUGGACAAUGGGGGCAACCCUGAUCCAGCCAUGCCGCGUGAGUGAAGAAGGCCUUCGGGUUGUAAAGCUCUUUCGGCCGGGAAGAAAUCGUAUCAGCUAAUACCUGGUGCGGAUGACGGUACCGGCAUAAGAAGCACCGGCUAACUACGUGCCAGCCGCCGCGGUAAUAC